CUGACUGUCAGGGCCCUUCUGAAAGCCAGAUCCAAAGUGUUUAGCCUUGGGGGUAGCCAGGGAGAGCACAGCCCAUGUGCUACCUGUUCUUCUGCCUUAUGCAGAAGGAUUCAGAGCUCAUCUGCUAGGAAGUGAAGACACCCCCACCCCCGCCAAAUUAUAUGCUGUGCAGUGCAGACAGUCUCUGUUCAGUGUUGGGGGAUAACUAGGCUGGAUUAAGAGAGAGAAAGAGAGAGAGGGGAAGGGAGGGGAGCCAGCCAAAUGCAUGGCAUUCAAGAGAAGCAGCUUUCAAAGGCUUUGGCUGGGAUGCAGAUUUGCAGACACUGUGGACCCAUAAUUCCCUGGCACACAAAGCUUGCUGGAGGCAUCAAUGCACCCAAGAUGCAGAAUAAACAGCAGAUAACAGAAAUGAUCCUGUGAAUUAAAAUGAAGACGAGGGGAAGAACUGCACUCCCAGGCUGCAGGUGACCUCAUCAUGGAAGGUUUAAAUCUGCAGGAGCUCACUGAAGUCACAUGGAAGGUACACCAGUGUGAAACUCACAUGAGACAAGAAUCAGAGGCAUCUAGUAAAUGAUAGGCUUGGUUCUCCGCUGCCUUGUACCUUGUGUUAUUACUUCUGGACAAAGUGGAUAUGUGCAAUGUGUCUGAUACAUGGCGAAAUGUGCUGUGCUAAUGCCAGCUCGGUGAGCUGUUAUCCAUUAAUGUCAAGGUAAAGACAUCUGCAGCGACACCGCAGUGAUGUAAACAGGCUCGAGGGGACUCGGAUUCAGCUCUACUGGCCUUGUGGAAUUAUACAAAGGAUGGAAUUCUUCCCAUUGAAUCCUUUUCUACAGCUGUCUUCAGUGCAGACUUCUUUUCCUGUGUGUCCUUCCAAACUACUACUAGUCCUUUCUACUCCCUCAGCAGCUCUCUACCUGCCUUAUCCAUUACAAUACCUGGCUCUUUUAUAGUAUUUGACAUCAGAAGAUCUCAAAGCACUUUACAAAAGAGGUCCGUAUCAUUAUCUUCAUUUUACAGACAGGGAAAAUGAGGCAUAGAGCAGUGACAUAACUUGCCUAAGGUCACCCCGGCCAGUGGCAGAGCUGGCAAUAGUACCUAGAUCUCCUGAAUCCUAUUCCAAUGCUCUAUCCACUAGGCCACCCCACCUUCCUUUGAGUUGUUCAACUCCUACGUGUAUAUUUAUGAUUCAUCUUUGAAGUGUUCUCACAUCUUUUAUUUUCACAUUAAUGUUGUUGUGGGGCCCACCUUUUAGUUUCCUUUAGUACAUUUGUUCUGUAGCUACUUCUGUGGAAAACAAGCAAUUUCUGCUCCACCUGCUCAUAAACACAAUGAGAGUGAGAGAACAUUGUGUUACAGCACAGGCACUGCCUUAGAAACAGAUUACAGUCGCCGGGAAAGCAAUGGAGAACUUCAGGGUGAGAGGAUUGUCUUUCACCUCCUCGCAAAGCUCUCCGGGGACAAGUUCUGCCUUUAAUUACGCUUCCUGCAACACAGCUGACUUCAAGAAGUCAGUGGGAUUUCAAGACAGAAUGUAAUAGCAAAGCACAGAACUAGCUCCUAGCCCUGGAAAAGAAGAUGGGGUGGGCAACUUAGAGAUUGUGAGCUAAGCAGAUGGGCACGGGCAACUGUAGAAGAUACACAACCCACAUUCACAUUCACGGUAUGUCUACACUGCACACUAAGCAAUGUGGACUCACAUUACCAAGCCUGCGCUUGAGCAUCCACCCUGCAGUGUAAACCUGGGUUUACAGUUGCUGAACCCAGGUCUCACAGCCCAGCUAACAUGUCCAUAUUGCUCAAUGCAGACCUUCUGACUCGGGUAUGCUGCUUGACCUCCUGUGUCCAUACUGCAAAAUUACAGGGUUUGGACCUGUGUCACAUUAGGACUCAGGCUAUGACCCACCCCCUUCUCAGGUUCCUAGGACCCAGGUUCUGAGUACUUGCUGAGCUCAAGAGUCACACUGAGUUAUGUGUGGACGGAAGAGAGGCUUGGACUCAAACCUGAAUCAGAAGAGCCAAGACUGAGUGUGCAGUGUAGACAUACUCGUGCAUGCUCAGCUAGUCAUUGGAGUGUGCUCUUAAACAAUCAGCCAACUAACAGUGGCUUGAGGGGUUGGUUGGCACUUACAUAUAUAUAUUUUUAAAUUGCAGGUCUGUGUACGUGGCUAUCGAUAUUUGAUUGUAACCUCCUUCCUGUUCCCUCUCUCUCUCAAAGGUCGCUUGUCUUCACAGACUGUAAGCUCUCCACAUGAGGGAUCAUGUCUUUGUGCAUGUUUGUAUAGCAGUGCAGUCCCAAACCUGACUCUUCAAUAUAAAUAUUAAAUAAUAACUUUAGUGCUUAGAAUGAAUCUGUGCCUUGGUGCUACAUUAGCUCGCAUAGUUUGGGAGUGCCCCUUUAUCAAGAAUUUCUGGUAUGAGAUGGGUCAAAGGAUCAAUUUGAUAUCGGAUGCUAAAUUGGAUUCCUCCCCCUUAAGUUUCAUUCUUGGAUAUAUUCCUGAUACCUGGCAAUUACCCUGGUAACAAGGUAGCAUGGUUCCAACAUGCAGCUUUGGUAGCUAAAAAUUAAUCCUGCAAAAAUGGAAAAGUUCACCCUCUCCAUAUAUUGAUGCCUGGCUCAGUGAUAUGGCAGACCUCACAGCUAAUGAAUGACUGGUAUUCCACAGAAGGGGAAUGCCCAAAAAAUUCAUAGCAAUUUGGGCUGACAUUUUAGAGGUCUAUGAUUAACGUAGACCCCUUCUCUCCCUUUAUCCGAACCCUCUUAAUUUACUUUGUGUAUUAUGAUGAA